CAUCAUCUGUUAAUUUCACCCUAUUGAAGUUGAGUUUGACCCAGUUUUACUUCAUUCUGAAGAUCUCAAAAGAAAAUUUUGAAAUUUGAAAUCUCGGGCAUUGCUCAUUCUCACUAUGAUCAGGAAAAGUGUACUGUUGCUUGCUAUCUAUUCAUAGCUAUCUUUGCAGAAGUUACAAAGCAUGGGCUAUAGCAAGUGUUAUUCCCCAUUUCCCCAGUUCUAUUGGCAUUUAUUCAUUUUGUCUUCCCCAAGCAAGUUUACUAUAAGCUAGAUUUCAAUUUUUGCUCUAAUUGAUCUUCAAUAUGACAUAUUAUUUAGUUUUCAGCUUACUAGGCAUUCCCAGAAGUUAUUUUGGCAAAGUAGAGGUUUUCAUAUGAUAGCAUGAAGCUAAGGGAAUGAUUUGAGAAAAAAGUUUUGAGUUGGUGUUGCACCAACUCAACAGAGAAUUCUUGCAUUAAUUCUUGAACCUCUUCAGGCCUUGGAGCUUCCCUCAUAGCUCAGUCAGUAAAGAAUUUGCCUGCAGUGCAGGAGACCCAGGUUCGAUCCCUGGAUCGGGAAGUAUUCCUCUAGAGAAGGAAAUGACAACCCACUCAAGUAUCCUUGCCAGAAAAUCCCAUGGACAGAGGAGCCUGGUGGUCUAUAGCCCAUGGGGUUGCGAAGAGUCCGGCCUGACUGAGUGACUAAUGCAUCACAUCACAGACCUUGUCAUGACUGUUUUCCCAGAGAUGUUUCCCAGUGGGACUACACUUCCUAAUGAGCACCUCAUUCUCCAUUGAGAAUUGGUCUUCUUGAAGUUGGACUCAGAAUGGAGAUUCAUUCCCUGGCACUGAAAUAAUAAAGAGAUCUGGAAUAUCUUGCUGUGACUCCAGACAGAAUCCAAGAGGAGAUUUACAAUCUUUUCUCUGGAUUUGAGAUUUACUCUACCUUACUGUGUUAGCCUUAAUCCUUUUGAGUCUCGUAGAAAGAGGUAAAAU
ensembl:lncRNA